rnacentral:rRNA from 1 species
GGUUAAGCGACUAAGCGUACACGGUGGAUGCCCUGGCAGUCAGAGGCGAUGAAGGACGUGCUAAUCUGCGAUAAGCGUCGGUAAGGUGAUAUGAACCGUUAUAACCGGCGAUUUCCGAAUGGGGAAACCCAGUGUGAUUCGUCACACUAUCAUUAACUGAAUCCAUAGGUUAAUGAGGCGAACCGGGGGAACUGAAACAUCUAAGUACCCCGAGGAAAAGAAAUCAACCGAGAUUCCCCCAGUAGCGGCGAGCGAACGGGGAGCAGCCCAGAGCCUGAAUCAGUGUGUGUGUUAGUGGAAGCGUCUGGAAAGGCGUGCGAUACAGGGUGACAGCCCCGUACACAAAAAUGCACAUACUGUGAGCUCGAUGAGUAGGGCGGGACACGUGGUAUCCUGUCUGAAUAUGGGGGGACCAUCCUCCAAGGCUAAAUACUCCUGACUGACCGAUAGUGAACCAGUACCGUGAGGGAAAGGCGAAAAGAACCCCGGCGAGGGGAGUGAAAAAGAACCUGAAACCGUGUACGUACAAGCAGUGGGAGCACGCUUAGGCGUGUGACUGCGUACCUUUUGUAUAAUGGGUCAGCGACUUAUAUUCUGUAGCAAGGUUAACCGAAUAGGGGAGCCGAAGGGAAACCGAGUCUUAACUGGGCGUUAAGUUGCAGGGUAUAGACCCGAAACCCGGUGAUCUAGCCAUGGGCAGGUUGAAGGUUGGGUAACACUAACUGGAGGACCGAACCGACUAAUGUUGAAAAAUUAGCGGAUGACUUGUGGCUGGGGGUGAAAGGCCAAUCAAACCGGGAGAUAGCUGGUUCUCCCCGAAAGCUAUUUAGGUAGCGCCUCGUGAAUUCAUCUCCGGGGGUAGAGCACUGUUUCGGCAAGGGGGUCAUCCCGACUUACCAACCCGAUGCAAACUGCGAAUACCGGAGAAUGUUAUUACGGGAGACACACGGCGGGUGCUAACGUCCGUCGUGAAGAGGGAAACAACCCAGACCGCCAGCUAAGGUCCCAAAGUCAUGGUUAAGUGGGAAACGAUGUGGGAAGGCCCAGACAGCCAGGAUGUUGGCUUAGAAGCAGCCAUCAUUUAAAGAAAGCGUAAUAGCUCACUGGUCGAGUCGGCCUGCGCGGAAGAUGUAACGGGGCUAAACCAUGCACCGAAGCUGCGGCAGCGACGCUUAUGCGUUGUUGGGUAGGGGAGCGUUCUGUAAGCCUGUGAAGGUGUGCUGUGAGGUAUGCUGGAGGUAUCAGAAGUGCGAAUGCUGACAUAAGUAACGAUAAAGCGGGUGAAAAGCCCGCUCGCCGGAAGACCAAGGGUUCCUGUCCAACGUUAAUCGGGGCAGGGUGAGUCGACCCCUAAGGCGAGGCCGAAAGGCGUAGUCGAUGGGAAACAGGUUAAUAUUCCUGUACUUGGUGUUACUGCGAAGGGGGGACGGAGAAGGCUAUGUUGGCCGGGCGACGGUUGUCCCGGUUUAAGCGUGUAGGCUGGUUUUCCAGGCAAAUCCGGAAAAUCAAGGCCGAGGCGUGAUGACGAGGCACUACGGUGCUGAAGCAACAAAUGCCCUGCUUCCAGGAAAAGCCUCUAAGCAUCAGGUAACAUCAAAUCGUACCCCAAACCGACACAGGUGGUCAGGUAGAGAAUACCAAGGCGCUUGAGAGAACUCGGGUGAAGGAACUAGGCAAAAUGGUGCCGUAACUUCGGGAGAAGGCACGCUGAUACGUAGGUGAAGCGACUUGCUCGUGGAGCUGAAAUCAGUCGAAGAUACCAGCUGGCUGCAACUGUUUAUUAAAAACACAGCACUGUGCAAACACGAAAGUGGACGUAUACGGUGUGACGCCUGCCCGGUGCCGGAAGGUUAAUUGAUGGGGUUAGCGCAAGCGAAGCUCUUGAUCGAAGCCCCGGUAAACGGCGGCCGUAACUAUAACGGUCCUAAGGUAGCGAAAUUCCUUGUCGGGUAAGUUCCGACCUGCACGAAUGGCGUAAUGAUGGCCAGGCUGUCUCCACCCGAGACUCAGUGAAAUUGAACUCGCUGUGAAGAUGCAGUGUACCCGCGGCAAGACGGAAAGACCCCGUGAACCUUUACUAUAGCUUGACACUGAACAUUGAGCCUUGAUGUGUAGGAUAGGUGGGAGGCUUUGAAGUGUGGACGCCAGUCUGCAUGGAGCCGACCUUGAAAUACCACCCUUUAAUGUUUGAUGUUCUAACGUGGACCCGUGAUCCGGGUUGCGGACAGUGUCUGGUGGGUAGUUUGACUGGGGCGGUCUCCUCCUAAAGAGUAACGGAGGAGCACGAAGGUUGGCUAAUCCUGGUCGGACAUCAGGAGGUUAGUGCAAUGGCAUAAGCCAGCUUGACUGCGAGCGUGACGGCGCGAGCAGGUGCGAAAGCAGGUCAUAGUGAUCCGGUGGUUCUGAAUGGAAGGGCCAUCGCUCAACGGAUAAAAGGUACUCCGGGGAUAACAGGCUGAUACCGCCCAAGAGUUCAUAUCGACGGCGGUGUUUGGCACCUCGAUGUCGGCUCAUCACAUCCUGGGGCUGAAGUAGGUCCCAAGGGUAUGGCUGUUCGCCAUUUAAAGUGGUACGCGAGCUGGGUUUAGAACGUCGUGAGACAGUUCGGUCCCUAUCUGCCGUGGGCGCUGGAGAACUGAGGGGGGCUGCUCCUAGUACGAGAGGACCGGAGUGGACGCAUCACUGGUGUUCGGGUUGUCAUGCCAAUGGCACUGCCCGGUAGCUAAAUGCGGAAGAGAUAAGUGCUGAAAGCAUCUAAGCACGAAACUUGCCCCGAGAUGAGUUCUCCCUGACCCU